GGCUCGAUGGUGAAGUGGUCUAACACCGCAGUUUGCAAAACUGUUAUUCGUGGGUUCGAAUCCCACUCGAGCCUCAA
rnacentral:tRNA from 1 species